UCCGGUUUAACACCGGCAGUCUCCAUAGAGUGCCCAACUAAAUGAUGGCAACUAGGGAUAAGGGUUGCGCUCGUUAAGGGACUUAACCCGACAUCUCACGAUACGAGCUGACGACAGCCAUGCAGCACCUGUCUCUCUGUCCCCGAAGGGAAAACUCUAUCUCUAGAGCUGUCAGAGGAUGUCAAACCCAGGUAAGGUUCUUCGCGUUGCAUCGAAUUAAACCACAUGCUCCACCGCUUGUGCGGGCCCCCGUCAAUUUCUUUGAGUUUUAACCUUGCGGCCGUACUUCCCAGGCGGGGUACUUAAUGCGUUAGCGUCGGCACUGCAGGGGUCAAUUCCCACAACACCUAGUACCCAUCGUUUACAGCAUGGACUAC
rnacentral:misc_RNA from 1 species